rnacentral:rRNA from 1 species
UGGGGGAUAUUGCACAAUGGGCGAAAGCCUGAUGCAGCGACGCCGCAUGGGGGAUGAAGGCCUUCGGGUUGUAAACUUCUUUUGCUCUGAACAAGGCGCACCAUGGGGUGUGUUGAGUGUAGGGGUUGAUUAGCGCCGGCUAACUACGUGCCAGCAGCCGCGGUAAUACGUAGGGCGCGAGCGUUGUCCGGAAUUAUUGGGCGUAAAGGGCUUGUAGGUGGCUGGUUGCGUCUGUCGUGAAAGCUCAUGGCUUAACUGUGGGUUUGCGGUGGGUACGGGCUGGCAUGAGUGCAGUAGGGGAGGCUGGAAUUCCUGGUGUAGCGGUGGAAUGCGCAGAUAUCAGGAGGAAUACCGGUGGCGAAGGCGGGUCUCUGGGCUGUUACUGACACUGAGGAGCGAAAGCAUGGGGAGCGAACAGG